rnacentral:tRNA from 1 species
ACGCCGUUGGACGUCGUCGGACUAUCUGCGGCGCCCUUUCACGGCGAAAACACGGGUUCGAUUCCCGUAGGGCGCGCCA